AACGAACGCUGGCGGCAGGCUUAACACAUGCAAGUCGAGCGCCCCGCAAGGGGAGCGGCAGACGGGUGAGUAACGCGUGGGAAUCUACCCAUCUCUACGGAAUAACGCAUGGAAACGUGUGCUAAUACCGUAUACGUCCUUCGGGAGAAAGAUUUAUCGGAGAUGGAUGAGCCCGCGUUGGAUUGGCUAGUUGGUGGGGUAAAGGCCUACCAAGGCGACGAUCCAUAGCUGGCCUGAGAGGAUGAUCAGCCACACUGGGACUGAGACACGGCCAGACUCCUACGGGAGGCAGCAGUGGGGAAUAUUGGACAAUGGGCGCAAGCCUGAUCCAGCCAUGCCGCGUGAGUGAUGAAGGCCCUAGGGUUGUAAAGCUCUUUCACCGGUGAAGAUAAUGACGGUAACCGGAGAAGAAGCCCCGGCUAACUUCGUGCCAGCCGCCGCAGUAACAC
rnacentral:rRNA from 1 species